CCCACUCACAAUCUUGAUUUUUUUUUUUUGCAAGUUUAAAGAAAAAACUGCUUUCCAGCAACUUCUUAUCUCAACUCUUGACUGUCUCAAUCGCACGGAAAUAUACACGUGUGUAUCAAUAGGCCAAUCUGGAGGUGGAAGAACGUGGAGAAUAAUAAGGAGUAGGACAAAGUUUCCAAAUGCAAAUGUAUAGAAGAUAAAGAAAGUAUAAAAGUGGUUAGGUUUAUUUGAAAAUAGUCUAGGAUUCGUAAUGCAAAAUUAUCCUUUAUAUUUUAGGCGUGAGAUUUUAGAAAUUGUUGGAGAAAUCCAAUAAAUAUACUCAUAUUUUUUUAUCCAAGUGCAAAGAAACUCCUCAAUUCGAACUAUUGGAGAUGCUCAACCCACCUGAAAGGGGCAAACCCGAGAUU
rnacentral:lncRNA from 1 species